AGAGUUUGAUCCUGGCUCAGGAUGAACGCUGACAGAAUGCUUAACACAUGCAAGUCUUUGGCGAAGCUGUGCUUGCACAGCCUAGCCAAGGCGGACGGGUGAGUAACGCGUAAGGAACUUGCCCUGCAGUCAGGGAUAACAGACGGAAACGACUGAUAAGACCUGGUAAAGUCAGGCGGACUCAUGUCCAGCCUGAUGAAAAGGAAUGCUGCAGGAGAGCCUUGCGUCCUAUUAGCUUGUUGGUGGGGUAACGGCCCACCAAGGCGAUGAUAGGUAGCCGGCCUGAGAGGGUGGACGGCCACAAGGGGACUGAGAUACGGCCCUUACUCCUACGGGAGGCAGCAGUGGGGAAUAUUGGACAAUGGGGGCAACCCUGAUCCAGCAAUUCUGUGUGCACGAAGAAGGUUUUCGGAUUGUAAAGUGCUUUCAGCAGGGAAGAAAAAAAUGACGGUACCUGCAGAAGAAGCGACGGCUAAAUACGUGCCAGCAGCCGCGGUAAUACGUAUGUCGCAAGCGUUAUCCGGAAUUAUUGGGCAUAAAGGGCAUCUAGGCGGCCAGAUAAGUCUGGGGUGAAAACUUGCGGCUCAACCGCAAGCCUGCCCUGGAAACUAUGUGGCUAGAGUACUGGAGAGGUGGACGGAACUGCACGAGUAGAGGUGAAAUUCGUAGAUAUGUGCAGGAAUGCCGAUGAUGAAGAUAGUUCACUGGACGGUAACUGACGCUGAAGUGCGAAAGCUAGGGGAGCAAACAGGAUUAGAUACCCUGGUAGUCCUAGCUGUAAACGAUGAUUACUGGGUGUGGGCAUGAAGAGUGUCCGUGCCGAAGCUAAUGCGAUAAGUAAUCCGCCUGGGGAGUACGGCCGCAAGGCUGAAACUCAAAGGAAUUGACGGGGACCCGCACAAGCGGUGGA
rnacentral:rRNA from 1 species